rnacentral:rRNA from 1 species
UACGAAGGGGACUAGCGUUGUUCGGAAUCACUGGGCGUAAAGCGCACGUAGGCGGAUGUGUCAGUCAGGGGUGAAAGUCCCGGGGCUCAACCUCGGAACUGCCUUUGAUACAGCACGUCUCGAGUCCGGAAGAGGUGGGUGGAAGUUCCUAGUGUAGAGGUGAAAUUCGUAGAUAUUAGGAAGAACACCGGUGGCGAAGGCGGCCCACUGGUCCGGUACUGACGGCUGAGGAGCGAAAGCGUGGGGAGCGAACAGG